CAUGUCACCACAGUGGUGACCCUUCUCUCUGACUCAUUUCCCAUUAUGAGCACAAUUAGCGUGCAGCAUGUGUCCUGGGAGAUUAAUGAUCCGCUGGAGGGAAGAAAGAGGAACUUGGGGAAUGGAUCUGGGUGUAGUCAGAGCUCGCCUCUCCCUGGGAGCUGCCUUGGUGCUGUAAAGGAUCUCAUGUCUUUUGCCAGCUUUGAUGAAACUUGCUAGUUGGAAAGCAGAGUGAAAUCUCAGGCUCUACAACUCUUGACAUAAGUAUUUUAUUCAUUUUUGGUGUCUAUGUUCUUGAAGUACUUAAGAGAUUUGGGGCUAUGCAAGUAAUAGACCAACUUUGUGAUUCAUAUUAAAAUUAAGUGAUUUAAACGCAGGAUUUUUAAUUUGAAAUUAUUUAAGUUUAUAAACAGUAUGGGAACAUUUAGAAAGACCUGGAUUCAUUCUGUUUAUAAUUGUAAUCCAUUAAAUUUAUGAAAAUUACCUAAGAAAUCUGAAAAGGUUUGGUUUAGCCAUCAGGCAAUUGAAGUACCUAAACAAGGAAAUAAAAUAUAUUAAAUUUAUAAAUCUUACUUUAAAUGUUUGAAUGAGUUAAAUAACUCCGUUUGUAUUGGGACCAAACUCUUUAACUCUUUAAGACUGCCUUAAAUCAUUUUGUUAAAAAUCUUAGAUUGAUUUCCACUUCUAUGUAGAGAGUUAGAAAGUAUAUCACCUCUACCCUAACAACAAGAAUAUGACAAAUGAAAUACAAAAUGAUAAUGUUCCUUGAACUCAUCAGAGGACUGACAUCACAGGGCAACUAAGCAACUAGAAUUCCAAAGAAGGACAAGCCCCUCCAAAGACAGGAAGCAUGAGGGCAGGCUCAUCAGUGUCAGAGCAGGGGAGACCAGCACAGACACCUUACAAGCAGAAUGACCUUCUGUGGCUACAGAGAAAGGCUUCAGGCAAAGAGAUGCAGCUCUGGGCCCCAGAGUCCGCUGGAGCACACUGAAGCUGGAGCACACUGAAGUGGAAGAUGGGGCUGCAGACAGAGACUGGGCAGCCUCUGCUCCAGGGAGGCCCGAGAGCCAGAGAGCAGAUUCCAUAAGAAGAAUAACUCCCAUUCCUCAUGCAUGAGACCCUCUGCUAAAUGCUUCCUGUGCACCACCUCCAGAAAUCCUCCCAAGCCAGGACACCAGCAGUAUUACAGGAACUGGAUGACAAAAAGAAGAGCCGAUAUAACCAGGAACCUACUCUGGCCACCCCAAGUAAGGAUCUAAAGUCCAGCCUCCUCCUCCACUGCCCUCAAGGCCUUUCCUCAUGAAAGCAGAGGUUCUGAAUGCUGAUUUCUGUUUUAAAGCCCAAUAACUCUUUAAACAUCU
rnacentral:lncRNA from 1 species